rnacentral:rRNA from 1 species
UACAGAGGUCUCAAGCGUUGUUCGGAUUCAUUGGGCGUAAAGGGCGCGUAGGCGGCGAGGUAAGUCGGGUGUGAAAUCUCAGAGCUCAACUCUGAAACUGCACUCGAUACUGCUUUGCUAGAGGACUGGAGAGGAGAUUGGAAUUCACGGUGUAGCAGUGAAAUGCGUAGAGAUCGUGAGGAAGACCAGUGGCGAAGGCGGAUCUCUGGACAGUUCCUGACGCUGAGGCGCGAAGGCCAGGGGGGCAAACAGG